rnacentral:rRNA from 1 species
CCUACGGGAGGCAGCAGUGAGGAAUAUUGGUCAAUGGGCGCGAGCCUGAACCAGCCAAGUCGCGUGAGGGAAGACGGUCCUAUGGAUUGUAAACCUCUUUUGUCGGGGAGCAAAAGACGCCACGCGUGGCGUUCCGAGAGUACCCGAAGAAAAAGCAUCGGCUAACUCCGUGCCAGCAGCCGCGGUAAUACGGAGGAUGCGAGCGUUAUCCGGAUUUAUUGGGUUUAAAGGGUGCGCAGGCGGAAGAUUAAGUCAGCGGUAAAAUUGAGAGGCUCAACCUCUUCGAGCCGUUGAAACUGGUUUGCUUGAGUGAGUGAGAAGUAUGCGGAAUGCGUGGUGUAGCGGUGAAAUGCAUAGAUAUCACGCAGAACUCCGAGUGCGAAGGCAGCAUACCGGCGCUCAACUGACGCUCAGGCACGAAAGUGUGGGGAUCGAACAGGAUUAGAUACCCUUGUAGUC